UUCAAGAGGGCCAGGUCCAUCCCA
rnacentral:piRNA from 1 species